GAUUUAAUUUACACUUUACGUUGAAUUCAAAUUUGUUUUCAUUAUUGUUAUCGAUUCAUUACAUGGAUCGGACUGUUUGACGAAUUUCUGGUCUAAUGCAAUGCUGCGUAAUAUGUGUUAAACUAAACGAAGUUUUACCAACAUUUUCGAGGAAAAAAUGUCCUAAGGUAAAAAUGUCCGGAGGUAAAAAAAUAUAAUACUUAUAUAAUUAUAAUUUAUAAAUAUAAAUAAUAAAUUAAAUAUAGUGUCAGACAUUUUUACCUCCGGACAUUUUUACUUCGGACGUUUUUUCUUCGGGCAUUUUUACUCACAACCGCGUUAAACAUAGAAAGAAAAUAUCGGUAUUCAAUCCCCUUAAAAUAAAUAUUUUAAAGACGCGGUUUUUAUGUCAUUGUAAUAUCUCCCCCGGGCCCCUGUAGAAAAUGCAAACUACUUUAUGCACUAUAACAUUUCUCGGAGUUUAUACUAUAGUACGCGCAAUUUUUUUUAAAAUCAGUAUUUUUUCUCAAAAUAAUCUUUAUCUUCGACCGUGCUGUAUUUUUUUUUUCCGUAGAAUCUAUAACUCGUUUUUAAAAGUUAACGAUCCGUUACCUAUGUAGGUAUCAUGUAAGUGUGUAACACCACUUUAAUAUAUUUUAACCAAAAGGUAAAAUAUUUAUAGCGGGAUGUUGUUUUUCUUCAUUUUUUUUUUUCUUUAUAUUACUCAUUGUUCGAAGAGCACAUAUAUUUUUAUGUGUAUACUGUAUACGUUUUUCAAGUGCGUAGUCGUAUUUAUGAUUGUUUUUUUGUUUUGUCCAUCGGUAUUUCCAAUAAAUUCCUCACGACUGUUCACAUAAUGUUUAGCUAUAAACAACGUAUGCGUAUGGCACACACACACACACACACACAUAGUGUACAGUGUACACUGUACACACUAUAUUAUAUUAAGCAGUACAAAAUAUGUCUCAUGCGAAUAAGUUCUGUAAAUCGUAUUUUCUACAGAGAGUUACAAUAUCGGCUGUUCUAUAUCGCUGUACGUCAUACCAUUGAUUAACGUCACUAAUUUUAACGAUAGGAUAACUUGUUUUUGUUUUUGUAUGUUAUAAAGUCAGUAAUAAUCAGCGACUUCUGUAUUUUCGACCGAAAGUUUUCUAUAAUUUCUUAUACAAUACAUGUCCGAAACCACUUACUCGUGUUAUGUUCUUUCUCAUCUCGCCGUAUCUUUUGAAAUGUCUUUUUAUCCACCAAUAAAGAGCAGUAAGAGCUUGAAAGAAAAUAAGGAAGCAGAAAGCUUAAUCCAAUCAAAAAAACGACAAGAUACCUUUUCUUUGUUGCAUUUCGGUUCUAGUCGGUGAGUAUGAAAUUCGUAUUUUGAUUUGGGAAAAAUCGGAAAAAUCAAAUCAAAUACGGGAAAGUUUACGGCAUUUAUAGUUGCAUUAUUUUUAAUUUUAUUUAUUUGUUAUAAAUUGGUUAACAUAACCUUAGAGACCUAACAUUUUCACAAAAUAUUUAUUAAAAUAUAAGUAUUCAUUAUACUGUGCAGAUGAAUUUUCUAUGUUCAGGUAGGCCUAACUUGUAAAUUUUUCGGGUUGGGUCGGGGCGGCCAAAAUUUUCGAAUCUUUAUUCAGAUUGGAUUGGAUCAAACAAACUUCGAAUUUCAAUCCGGUUAGAUCGGAUUCACUUAUAUCAGCCCAUACAAAGCUCUGUUUGGUAUUAUAGGUAUCUACUAUACAUUCGUUUUGUAUUGUAUUAUUUUUAUAUUUUCAGAUCGGUAGAAAAGACCAAAUACAAUUAAUCCAUGUGUUUUUUUUAAUAUAGAUAAUAUAACGGAUCAUCGCUCGUGUAUUAUUCGAUCGCCACUGAUGCUACUGUACAGAGAAUUUAUUAGCUAAAAUUUUAGUUUUCGAUUAAUUAUUUAUUACAUGAGCGUUGUCAUGUAACUAGUUAUACUAAAAAUAAAUGAACAGUACAAAGCCGCACUAGCCGUGGGCAUCCGACACCAAUAACGUAGAUUUUAGAGGAAGGACAAACCGGAACAAGGUUUUCCAACAUGCAUUUAAGACUAAUAUAACGAUAUAUAUUGUGUAGAUACAAGAACGCAGACCUGUACAAAAAGUUAGGUUAUGUUAUAGUGUUAUGAUGGGUCCAUUACAAGAAGAACAAUCAAUAAUCAUCCAGGUAGUACGCCAUAAUUUUUGCGUCAAGGCUCAAUAAAAGUAAUUUUGUGUACCUAUUUAUAAUAUUUUUCAGCAACGAAUAUGUCCCCCUCGUGCCCUCCAAUGGGCAUCUAUGGUACUAUCCUAUAUAAAUGACAAUAAGUUAGUGUUACUAAGUUACCAUAUUUCAUAUAUUUUUUAAAGCCAACGGUGUUAUACAAUUAUUAACAGAGCAAUAGACUGUUUACAUCUACACUUUCACCCGAAAGGCUGAUUUAAAAUUGGUCGAAAAAAAAUUAGGUGUAGAAGUAAAAUUUUUGGAAAUAUUAUGAAUGGAUAGCAAGCAAUAUAGCCAAAAUUUCGUUUUAGAUUUUGAGAAUAGUAGAAGAAGUAGUAGUAGAAAUAGUAGUAGAGAAUAAAAUGUAUUAGUUUCACUGUAUCAUGAUGUGGGCGCAUUUUUUUCUGUAUGACUGUGAACCAUUUAUUUACCAAAAAUCUCGCUCCAAUCAAAAAACAACAAAAUAAUUUUUUUGUAAAAUUUCGGACCUACUCGGUAUAUUGGAGAGGUUAUUUUUUGAUUUUCCGAGAAGUUUUAUGAAUAAAUGGGAAAACCCAGGGAAAAAUGUAGAAAAAACCGGCCAUUAUUUUCAAUUUGGUUUAUUUAUUGUGAUUCAGUCAAACAUAAUUAUAGGCACCUAAAAUGUUUACAAGAUAUGUAUGUAAGACUUUUUUAAACGUCAAAAAUUUUGAACCAUAUUGGUAUUUUACAUUUUUUAGUUAUUUUAAUUUUUAUUUAGUAUUAUGUGGAUAAAUGUGGAUAAUGUGGAUAUGUUUAACAAUUAUACACGAGGUUCAUCAUAAGUUAUUUUUGAUGUUAAAAAAAAAUUGAGCGUAUUGUAGUAAACAUUUAAAAAUUAAAUUUUAACAAAAAUCAUAAUAAUGCAUGGCAUUUCAAAAUACUUUUAACUGAACUUCGCUCAGAAUCGUAUUUCGUCAGCAAUGUUUUAUCGUUGCGUACUUACGUGCAUUAAAUAACUUUAUAUAUCCUACCUUUCUAACUUCCCAACUACAACAGUGGUAUGCCAAACAGCGGUAAGUAACCUAACCUAACCUAACAAGCUCUUUAUUUAAUUAUAUUAUAAUUAUUUCAUUAAUAUUUCAGGUUUAUUAAAAAAAAAUAAACAGGAAUUAAUCGAUGAAAAACGCAGCAGAACUGUAGACAACUAUAGCACACUGACCACAAUGCGCAUUAAGGUAUUCGUUUAAAAAAUAAUUAUCAAUCAUUUUACUGAGAAUGUACAGCAUAAGAAGGACGACUGCAAAACGGAAAUUACAAUUGAGUUUAUUACCGGACACACCAAGGUUAGUAAUUAGUAACAACUUUUAAGUUUUAAUACAUACUAUGGCGAAUUUUUAAAUGACAAUAAUUACAAACUUCCAUUCAUACCCUACCCAAUGUGUGGAAGGAGGGGGAAUCAGAAAAUAACAUGUUGUCGUGUACUCGUGUAUAUAGUUGUGGUAUGUGCUCCAAAGUGACAAUUUUAAACACGGUUGUCAAUAUGCGUACGCUAUAAAGACAAUGUAUGUAAAUUAUAAUAUUAAUAAUAGUAGUGUCUAUAAUAUAUUAUUGAGGUUAGGCUUCCGGUUGAAAGGCAAUACCGUUUCUCAGAUGCACAUAUACACGCAUCAUUCGCAUAUAACUUUCUCGAUUAUGUUGUUAAAUACUGCGGAGAGAGAGCUAAAACCAAUUGUAUAGGUACGCGUAUUUUAGAUUCUGAAAAGAGCAUAAUGUACUACGAUAGGAAGGUUAGGCACAAUAAUGUUAUGUUAUGUUGUAUCUUGUAUAUACUUCUAGCUAUACUUAAAAACUAUUUUAUAUUUUGACCGUACGGAGAGAAAUGUAUUAGUUUUACUAUAGUAUGUGCUUUUAUUUUAUUUUAGUAUUAUUAUUAUUUUUUAUUUAUUUAUUUUUUUUAUUUUUGAUCCGACCGUGAACAACUUUUUUCCAAGAAAUCUAGCACCAAUCAUCAAUUUCAGAAGUGGUUUUCGGUAGUAAAUUUUAUCUAUUUAGAGCAUUGUGGAGAUCGUCUUUUGAUGUUCCUUGUAGUUUUCUUAAUAAUUGGGAAAAAAAUUUAUUUUAUUUUCGUAAUCCAGUUGAAAAUAAUUUGUUUUAUAAUUGUUUUAGUUUACAAGGUAUAUCAUAUUAUGUUGUUCUUGUAGCACUUUAUAGGUAAUUACCAAGAUUUCAAGUUUUCAAUUUUUUUUUUUUUUCAUAACCGUUUAAAGUUCAAAUUUUAAAGAAAAUCGUAAAAUUCACGGCACUUUCCAAAUUAUUUUCUGAUUUAUGUGGAAAAAACCCUUUUUGAUUCCUUCAAAAUUUUCGAAAAUUUGAAACAAACAAAUAAGGACAGUUAUUAUUAUUUAUUUUGUUGUAACAAAAACUACAAACGAUUUUUUAAAACAUGUUUAACGCUCAGAAUCAGUUUUCGUUAGCAACGAUUUAUCAUUGCAUACAGUUAUAAUUUUUAAAUUAUCUUAUAUAUAUCCUACUUUCUCAAUAUCACACUCACAAUAGUGACACACCCAUGGUGCGAAAUAUUACGGUUUUUUUUUUUGUGUGUGUGUUUGAAAUUCCGUUCUAUAUGACUUAAAAAACUAUAUUUUUUUUUUUCAAAUGCAUGUAAUACUUUUAACACCGUGUAGAUUUAUGUACUAUAAUAUAUCGAGUGGUAAGUUUAAUCAAACGCUAUUAAUGCCUCUUUUUAAUGACACACUUGCAGUGCUGUUUGUCUGCGGUAUACGAUGCGUAUACCAAUAAAUGUACCGAAAUCAUAAUACGUACCUAAUAAUGUUUUUAAUUUUUUUUUUUUUUUUUUUUUCAAAAAUGUGUUUUUGUAUACUGAUUAAACGAACUACUAUGUGAUAAAAUCCAUUAAAAUGAAUACAUGACAGUAUGUUGACUCAGCAGAUCCAGGGGAAAGCUGAAAUAGAAGGGAAAUAGAAGCAUUUCCCCCGUCCAAAAACCAUAGUUUAGUUUGUUUUUCUUGUAUUGUUGUAAAAUAUAUAUCCGGUGCCAUUAACCGAUGUUGUAAAUUGUUUUGCCCUCCCCCAAGAUCUGUAAUUACCAUUAGUUAGAUUGUUUAAUAUUCAUUUCAAUUUUUACGCAGGACCGUAACAUAUCCCGUCAAAUAGCGGCUGCACAUCUCAAUAUGAUUUAAUUUAUCAAUGGUGACUUGACGUUUAGUACUCCAAUAGCCUCUUUGCUGUCUCAAACUAACUACCGGGCAAAAUCAUAAGUGAAUAUUUAGUCACAUCUGUGAGGGUGCUUGACAUUUUUAGUCAGGCUUGAUACACUAUAAUCUACGGCUUAAAUUGAUCUACCUUUGGUGUCCAAUAUACAUAUUAGCACAAUCAGUGAUGUGUCCAGGAAUUUUAAAUGAGAAAAGACAUAAACACGUAUUUUUAACUAGUGAAUUAUAACGAUAAUCCAUGGAUCACAGAAUCUUCUUCUCCGUUAGAACUCUUUUCAAGGUCUUUGGAGAUUUUGCCGGAGAUCGUAUUGAUAUAUGGACGACGAACACGAACCGGUCCUCCGUGCUUUUUCAGAAUCCAAUAAAUCAAAUUCGCUCGCCUUCAGCCUGUAGUCUAAAACUCAUAAGACCAUUCGUCAGUACGUCACAGCCAGUAAAAAUUUAAAUGCCGGAUUCAAAAAAGCCAAUUUGUGUAAAUUAAUUAAACUUGUAUCUAUGUAACUUCGCUAUUAUAAAUACGUAAUUUCAAAAUAAAGUUACAUGAUAAAUAGGC